rnacentral:tRNA from 1 species
GCUCGGGUGGCGGAAUCGGCAGACGCGCAUGUUUGAGGGGCAUGUGGAGUAAUCCGUGAGGGUUCAAGUCCCUCCUCGAGCACCA